rnacentral:rRNA from 1 species
UACGUAGGGGGCGAGCGUUGUCCGAAGUUACUGGGCGUAAAGCGCGCGUAGGCGGUCAUUUAAGUUCGGGGUGAAAGGUUCAACGCUCAACGUGAACAGUGCCUUGAAUACUGGGUGACUUGAGUUCGGGACAGGGCAGUGGAAUUCCUGGUGUAGCGGUGAAAUGCGUAGAUAUCAGGAGGAACACCGAUGGCGAAGGCAGCUGCCUGGCCUAGAACUGACGCUGAGGUGCGAAAGCGUGGGGAGCGAACAGG